CGAGCGGACAGAAGGGAGCUUGCUCCCGGAUGUUAGCGGCGGACGGGUGAGUAACACGUGGGUAACCUGCCUGUAAGACUGGGAUAACUCCGGGAAACCGGAGCUAAUACCGGAUAGUUCCUUGAACCGCAUGGUUCAAGGAUGAAAGACGGUUUCGGCUGUCACUUACAGAUGGACCCGCGGCGCAUUAGCUAGUUGGUGAGGUAACGGCUCACCAAGGCGACGAUGCGUAGCCGACCUGAGAGGGUGAUCGGCCACACUGGGACUGAGACACGGCCCAGACUCCUACGGGAGGCAGCAGUAGGGAAUCUUCCGCAAUGGACGAAAGUCUGACGGAGCAACGCCGCGUGAGUGAUGAAGGUUUUCGGAUCGUAAAGCUCUGUUGUUAGGGAAGAACAAGUGCAAGAGUAACUGCUUGCACCUUGACGGUACCUAACCAGAAAGCCACGGCUAACUACGUGCCAGCAGCCGCGGUAAUACGUAGGUGGCAAGCGUUGUCCGGAAUUAUUGGGCGUAAAGGGCUCGCAGGCGGUUUCUUAAGUCUGAUGUGAAAGCCCCCGGCUCAACCGGGGAGGGUCAUUGGAAACUGGGAAACUUGAGUGCAGAAGAGGAGAGUGGAAUUCCACGUGUAGCGGUGAAAUGCGUAGAGAUGUGGAGGAACACCAGUGGCGAAGGCGACUCUCUGGUCUGUAACUGACGCUGAGGAGCGAAAGCGUGGGGAGCGAACAGGAUUAGAUACCCUUGUAGUCCACGCCGUAACGAUGAGUGCUAAGUGUUAGGGGGUUUCCCGCCCCCUU
rnacentral:rRNA from 1 species